GUGUCAGCCGCCGCGGUAAUACGGAGGGUGCAAGCGUUAUCCGGAUUCACUGGGUUUAAAGGGUGCGUAGGUGGGUUGGUAAGUCAGUGGUGAAAUCCCCGAGCUUAACUUGGGAACUGCCAUUGAUACUAUUAAUCUUGAAUAUUGUGGAGGUCAGCGGAAUAUGUCAUGUAGCGGUGAAAUGCUUAGAGAUGACAUAGAACACCAAUUGCGAAGGCAGCUGGCUACGCAUAUAUUGACACUGAGGCACGAAAGCGUGGGGAUCAAACAGGAUUAGAUACCCUGGUAGUCCACGCCCUAAACUAUGGAUACUCGACAUCAGCGAUACACUGUUGGUGUCUGAGCGAAAGCAUUAAGUAUCCCACCUGGGAAGUACGACCGCAAGGUUGAA
rnacentral:rRNA from 1 species